CUGGCGUCCGUGUUGGGGAGCGGUCCCCGGAGCGGACCUCCACUCCGGCCCUUGCUGGGGCCUGCACUCUCUCUCCGGGCCCG
rfam:Canis lupus familiaris chromosome 6, whole genome shotgun sequence.